GGCUGCAGCACACUGGCAAGGAGAGGGGCCGUGUGGGAGGUGAGAGCCUGCAUGGAGCUGCUGGUGCUGUCCCAUCUCUCAGCACUUGGAACCAUGGACUACUAUGUGCAUGAGAGUGAGAUAGUCUGCUGGAGGAUAGAAGGCUACAUGUAGAAAUGAAGCACUCGGCCAACAGCCUGUGAAUGCCAGACAUGUGCAUGAGGCCAUUGUAGAUCAGAUGCCAGGUCACCCACCAGCUAACCACAGACAUGUGAAAGAGCAUAGAGAGAUCAGCUGUGCAACCCAGAAUCACCCAGUUGACUCUCAGAAUUUUUUUCUUUUUUUUUUUUUUUUGA